AGAAGAGUGCCUGAAAAAGGAUUAUCUUGAUAAGGUAAAAAAUGUGCCUCUCCCCCCUGCCCGCACCUCUUCUC
rnacentral:tRNA from 1 species